GGUUAAGCGACUAAGCGUACACGGUGGAUGCCCUGGCAGUCAGAGGCGAUGAAGGACGUGCUAAUCUGCGAUAAGCGUCGGUAAGGUGAUAUGAACCGUUAUAACCGGCGAUUUCCGAAUGGGGAAACCCAGUGUGUUUCGACACACUAUCAUUAACUGAAUCCAUAGGUUAAUGAGGCGAACCGGGGGAACUGAAACAUCUAAGUACCCCGAGGAAAAGAAAUCAACCGAGAUUCCCCCAGUAGCGGCGAGCGAACGGGGAGGAGCCCAGAGCCUGAAUCAGUAUGUGUGUUAGUGGAAGCGUCUGGAAAGACGCGCGAUACAGGGUGACAGCCCCGUACACAAAAAUGCACAUAUUGUGAGCUCGAUGAGUAGGGCGGGACACGUGGUAUCCUGUCUGAAUAUGGGGGGACCAUCCUCCAAGGCUAAAUACUCCUGACUGACCGAUAGUGAACCAGUACCGUGAGGGAAAGGCGAAAAGAACCCCGGCGAGGGGAGUGAAAAAGAACCUGAAACCGUGUACGUACAAGCAGUGGGAGCCUCUUUAUGGGGUGACUGCGUACCUUUUGUAUAAUGGGUCAGCGACUUAUAUUCUGUAGCAAGGUUAACCGAAUAGGGGAGCCGAAGGGAAACCGAGUCUUAACUGGGCGUUAAGUUGCAGGGUAUAGACCCGAAACCCGGUGAUCUAGCCAUGGGCAGGUUGAAGGUUGGGUAACACUAACUGGAGGACCGAACCGACUAAUGUUGAAAAAUUAGCGGAUGACUUGUGGCUGGGGGUGAAAGGCCAAUCAAACCGGGAGAUAGCUGGUUCUCCCCGAAAGCUAUUUAGGUAGCGCCUCGUGAACUCAUCUCCGGGGGUAGAGCACUGUUUCGGCAAGGGGGUCAUCCCGACUUACCAACCCGAUGCAAACUGCGAAUACCGGAGAAUGUUAUCACGGGAGACACACGGCGGGUGCUAACGUCCGUCGUGAAGAGGGAAACAACCCAGACCGCCAGCUAAGGUCCCAAAGUCAUGGUUAAGUGGGAAACGAUGUGGGAAGGCCCAGACAGCCAGGAUGUUGGCUUAGAAGCAGCCAUCAUUUAAAGAAAGCGUAAUAGCUCACUGGUCGAGUCGGCCUGCGCGGAAGAUGUAACGGGGCUAAACCAUGCACCGAAGCUGCGGCAGCGACGCUUAUGCGUUGUUGGGUAGGGGAGCGUUCUGUAAGCCUGUGAAGGUGUGCUGUGAGGCAUGCUGGAGGUAUCAGAAGUGCGAAUGCUGACAUAAGUAACGAUAAAGCGGGUGAAAAGCCCGCUCGCCGGAAGACCAAGGGUUCCUGUCCAACGUUAAUCGGGGCAGGGUGAGUCGACCCCUAAGGCGAGGCCGAAAGGCGUAGUCGAUGGGAAACAGGUUAAUAUUCCUGUACUUGGUGUUACUGCGAAGGGGGGACGGAGAAGGCUAUGUUGGCCGGGCGACGGUUGUCCCGGUUUAAGCGUGUAGGCUGGUUUUCCAGGCAAAUCCGGAAAAUCAAGGCUGAGGCGUGAUGACGAGGCACUACGGUGCUGAAGCAACAAAUGCCCUGCUUCCAGGAAAAGCCUCUAAGCAUCAGGUAACAUCAAAUCGUACCCCAAACCGACACAGGUGGUCAGGUAGAGAAUACCAAGGCGCUUGAGAGAACUCGGGUGAAGGAACUAGGCAAAAUGGUGCCGUAACUUCGGGAGAAGGCACGCUGAUAUGUAGGUGAAGUCCCUCGCGGAUGGAGCUGAAAUCAGUCGAAGAUACCAGCUGGCUGCAACUGUUUAUUAAAAACACAGCACUGUGCAAACACGAAAGUGGACGUAUACGGUGUGACGCCUGCCCGGUGCCGGAAGGUUAAUUGAUGGGGUCAGCGCAAGCGAAGCUCUUGAUCGAAGCCCCGGUAAACGGCGGCCGUAACUAUAACGGUCCUAAGGUAGCGAAAUUCCUUGUCGGGUAAGUUCCGACCUGCACGAAUGGCGUAAUGAUGGCCAGGCUGUCUCCACCCGAGACUCAGUGAAAUUGAACUCGCUGUGAAGAUGCAGUGUACCCGCGGCAAGACGGAAAGACCCCGUGAACCUUUACUAUAGCUUGACACUGAACAUUGAGCCUUGAUGUGUAGGAUAGGUGGGAGGCUUGGAAGUGUGGACGCCAGUCUGCAUGGAGCCGACCUUGAAAUACCACCCUUUAAUGUUUGAUGUUCUAACGUUGACCCGUAAUCCGGGUUGCGGACAGUGUCUGGUGGGUAGUUUGACUGGGGCGGUCUCCUCCUAAAGAGUAACGGAGGAGCACGAAGGUUGGCUAAUCCUGGUCGGACAUCAGGAGGUUAGUGCAAUGGCAUAAGCCAGCUUGACUGCGAGCGUGACGGCGCGAGCAGGUGCGAAAGCAGGUCAUAGUGAUCCGGUGGUUCUGAAUGGAAGGGCCAUCGCUCAACGGAUAAAAGGUACUCCGGGGAUAACAGGCUGAUACCGCCCAAGAGUUCAUAUCGACGGCGGUGUUUGGCACCUCGAUGUCGGCUCAUCACAUCCUGGGGCUGAAGUAGGUCCCAAGGGUAUGGCUGUUCGCCAUUUAAAGUGGUACGCGAGCUGGGUUUAGAACGUCGUGAGACAGUUCGGUCCCUAUCUGCCGUGGGCGCUGGAGAACUGAGGGGGGCUGCUCCUAGUACGAGAGGACCGGAGUGGACGCAUCACUGGUGUUCGGGUUGUCAUGCCAAUGGCACUGCCCGGUAGCUAAAUGCGGAAGAGAUAAGUGCUGAAAGCAUCUAAGCACGAAACUUGCCCCGAGAUGAGUUCUCCCUGACUCCUUGAGAGUCCUGAAGGAACGUUGAAGACGAUGACGUUGAUAGGCCGGGUGUGUAAGCGCAGCGAUGCGUUGAGCUAACCGGUACUAAUGAACCGUGAGGCUUAACCUU
rnacentral:rRNA from 1 species